AACGAACGCUGGCGGCAUGCCUAACACAUGCAAGUCGAACGAGACCUUCGGGUCUAGUGGCGCACGUGUACGUACCGCGUGGGAACCUGCCCUUAGGUUCGCAAUACCUCCCCGAAGGAGGUGCUAAUACCGGAGAAUGUCUUCGCACCAAGGAUGUAUCGCGUUUGGAUGGGCGCGCGUUGGAUUCGCUGGUUGGUAGGGUACAAGCCUACCAUGGGGACGAUGCAUAGCUGGUCGGAGAGGAUGAUCAGCUACACUGGGAAUGAGACACGGCCCAGAAUCGGACGGGAGGGAGCAGUGGGGAAUAUUGGACGAUGGGCGAAAGCGUGACAAAGCAACGUGGGGGGAGUGAGGCAGGGGUUAGGGUUGCAAAGCUGUUUUACCCGGGACGAUAAUGACAGUAAUGGGAGAAGAAGCACCGGCUAACUACGUG
rnacentral:rRNA from 1 species